rnacentral:rRNA from 1 species
UACGGAGGGGGGCUAGCGUUGUUCGGAAUUACUGGGCGUAAAGCGCACGUAGGCGGCUUUGUAAGUUAGAGGUGAAAGCCCAGGGCUUAACCCUGGAAUUGCCUUUAAGACUGCAUCGCUAGAAUCGUGGAGAGGUAAGUGGAAUUCCGAGUGUAGAGGUGAAAUUCGUAGAUAUUCGGAAGAACACCAGUGGCGAAGGCGACUUACUGGACACAUAUUUGACGCUGAGGUGCGAAAAGCGUGGGGGAGCGAAACAGG